UGACUCUCACACCUUGGUCUCCCAAAGUGCUGGGAUUACAGGCGUGAGCCACCGCGCCCGGCCCCCUCUGCCUCUUGGCUUGUUGCUAAUAGCAACCACAGUUAAUAUUUGCCAAGCGCUACUGUGUGCCGGAUGCUGUGCAAGACUCAGGAGACAGAAGAUAAAUUAGACAUGGUCCGAGCUCACAGUCCAGUGGGAAAUAAGUAAUCAGAUCAUGAUGUGAUAGAGCUGUGAUCCAAUCUCAGUGCGCUCGCUCAUCCGGGUGAUUUCAGCAUUUCCACCUGUUUCCAUGUCCUAGCCCUUGGGUGCA
rnacentral:lncRNA from 1 species